rnacentral:tRNA from 1 species
GCCCGGGUGGUGAAAUUGGUAGACACAAGGGACUUAAAAUCCCUCGAGCAUUGCGCUCGUGCCGGUUCGAUUCCGGCCCCGGGUACCA